UACCAGCACCCCGAGUGGUCGGGACGUUUUAUUGGGCCUAAAGCAUCCGUAGCCGGUUCUACAAGUCUUCCGUUAAAUCCAGCUGCUUAACAGAUGGGCUGCGGAAGAUACUAUGGAGCUAGGAGGCGGGAGAGGCAAGCGGUACUCGAUGGGUAGGGUAAAAUCCGUUGAUCCAUUGAAGACCACCAGUGGCGAAGGCGGCUUGCCAGAACGCGCUCGACGGUGAGGGAUGAAAGCUGGGGGAGCAAACCAGG
rnacentral:rRNA from 1 species